GCCGGUAUAGCUCAAGUGGCAGAGCACAUGCUUAGCAUGCAUGAGGUCCUGAGUUCACUCCCCAGUACCUCCU
rnacentral:tRNA from 1 species